GAUGAACGCUGGCGGCGUGCCUAAUACAUGCAAGUCGAGCGAACGGACGAGAAGCUUGCUUCUCUGAUGUUAGCGGCGGACGGGUGAGUAACACGUGGAUAACCUACCUAUAAGACUGGGAUAACUUCGGGAAACCGGAGCUAAUACCGGAUGAUAUUUUGAACCGCAUGGUUCAAAAGUGAAAGACGGUCUUGCUGUCACUUAUAGAUGGAUCCGCGCUGCAUUAGCUAGUUGGUAAGGUAACGGCUUACCAAGGCAACGAUGCAUAGCCGACCUGAGAGGGUGAUCGGCCACACUGGAACUGAGACACGGUCCUGACUCCUACGGGAGGCCGCAGUAGGGAAUCUUCCGCAAUGGGCGAAAGCCUGACGGAGCAACGCCGCGUGAGUGAUGAAGGUCUUCGGAUCGUAAAACUCUGUUAUUAGGGAAGAACAUAUGUGUAAGUAACUGUGCACAUCUUGACGGUACCUAAUCAGAAAGCCACGGCUAACUACGUG
rnacentral:rRNA from 1 species